rnacentral:lncRNA from 1 species
CGCCGCUUCUCCACUGCCGCCAUCUUCGCUGAGGGCAGCGGGACCGGAAGCACCGCCAUAUUCCACUGUGCGCUAGAGCCCCCCCAAGGCGGCCAUCUUGAUUAAGGGCAGAGGGCACCGGUAUCCCGCUGGGAGACUUUGGGAAGUGACAAGGGCUUGCCUCUCCUGCCUCAAUCUCCGCAUCUGGAUGAAGGGCUUGGACCAGAACCCCUCCAAGCCCCUUCCCUGGACCACUCUGUGGGAGAAGCCGGCAGGGGCUUCGGGAUUGGACAGAGCGUGAAGGGAGCACCGCCAGGGCACCGGCCCACAUUAAAUGUCUUCAUCCGAGCAUUCAGCAAGGGUUUAUUGAGCACCUGCUAUGCCCCAGGCCCUGUUCUAGCUUCUGUGGACACAGCCGUGCGCGACACAAGAUUCCCACCUGGGGAGCCACAGUGGGAGAAGGUCAUGGAAAAGAGAAUGUACGGGACUGGGGGAUGUCAGAUGUUAUCCAAGGUGUCAAGAAACGAAACAGAAGGGAAAGGGGGCUCACACGCGUGUGCGUGUUUGUACACGCGUGUGCCUGUGUGCCUGUGUUUGUACACGCGUGUGGGUGUGUGCGUUUGUUCCCGUGUGUGCUUGUGUGCCUGUUUGUACACGCGUGUGCGUGUGUGCCUGUGUGCACGCGUGUGUGUGUCUGUGUUUGUACAUGUGUGUGCUUGUGUGCCUAUGUUUGUACACGUUGGGGAUCAGGGGUUGACCCUUUAAACGGGAAUCCAGGGAAGCCUCACGGAGGAGGCAACAUUCUACAGAGACCUGAGGGGGAGGAGGAGAGAGCCGUGGAAAGAUCCGGAAGAAGGGUAUUCCCGGCAGAGGGCACAGCCGUGCAAAGGCCCCGGGGCAGGAUCACGCCUGGUGUGUUGGAGGAACAGCGAGGAGGCGAGGAGGCCCGUGUGGCUGCAGCAGAAUGAGGAGGGGGAGAAAGGGUGGAGGGAGGACAGGAAGGGGACAGGGUAGGUCGUGCAGGUUCCUGUGGGCCCCCGGGAGGACUU